CCCUGGGUCCUCACUGGCUGCCGGCCUUGGCCUGGUGUCCGGGGGCCAGUGCAAGGGAGGGGCCGAGGGCACGGACUCGGGCAAAUGCCAGCCACACUGUCCGGGCAACGGAGCUCCCUAGAGGGAGGCCAGCUGCCCUGUGGCGACCAUGGGGUCACAGGGGCGGGUCUGCUCCCCAGCACAGCUCCUCCAGAGACACCCAGGGCCCUGAGGGCUGCGUGCUGCGUGUCUGUCUUCCCAAGGGGUGUGGGUCCUUCAGGCCCAGGGAUGAUUUCGGUUCACACCUGCACGCGCGGCUGGGCUCGACGGUGAGAAGCGAGCUCUUGGCUGGGAUGGUGCGAGCUCCGCCCUGCUGCCCUGGCCCCGGUGCCUCAUCCUCCCGGGGGGCCCUGGGGUCCGUGCCCAGAACCACCCACACGGGUACUUAGCUUCGAGCCGGCAGAAGCCACCAGGGUGCAUCGCAGGGGCUUCCACACCCAUCCAUGCCACCUUUUAGGUGACUUUCAGGGGACUUCCUGCUGUCUCCGCACCGGGUGGGCGGGGGAGGGUGGUGACCUGUUGAGUCCUUGGAAUCCAUGGCAUUUAACUCUCCUUUUGCACUCCGCAGCCGGCCCGGUGUCCGAGGCACAGGUGCAGGGACAGGCGAGGGGCACCUGUGACUUGGGAGGGAGGAGGGGCAGCAGGCGGGGUCAGGGAGGACCAAGUGGCCGGGUCAGCGGGGCCUCAGCGGCACUUGGUGCCGGGGGUCCUUGCAGCCCGGCGCCCGGCUCCUGCGUUCUUCUCACCAGACAGGCUCCCCGGACUCCGUGGGCUCAGCGCCCGCCCUCCCGCUGCCUGACAGAGGAGAUCAGUCCGCCUGGCCCUGUGGCCCUGUCCACAGCUGCUCCCACAGCCACUGGGACCACUCCGUCCGUGGGGCCUCUCUGUCCCUUCUGCCCUGCCUCCAGGUCCGGCUGACCCCACCCUGCCCGGUGGGGCCUGGCCUCCCGAGCACCAGACCCUGGUCUUUGCUCAGGCCGACUCGGGCCACGGUGAUGGUCUUGUACUUGGGUAAUUCUGCAGGGCCAAGCUCAACCGUCAAGAGUCACACGGAAUGUGGGGGCAGGAUUUGGCCGUGUAAGUCACAGAGCACACAGCAGACGGUUCCAUGUGCCAGGUGGCCAGGGGUGGUUCAGGGACUCUCGACUACGGUGGCCUUGCCCCCUCCUCCUCCCAGGGACACCUGGCCACGUCCGGAGCCAGUUUUAGAGGUCACAGCCGGGCCUGACUUGCUGCCCCGCCUGUGUGGGCGGAGACUGUGCCUGCGGGUCAACACCCUGCAGGGGGGACCUGUCCCGGAGCAAAUGUCUGCAGUGCCUAGCUUAGCUGACUCCACCCCUUCACGGUGGGGGUCAGGGAAGCCCAGCCCCGCCGAGGCCCCCUCCCUUUCUGGUGGGGCCCUGGAGACCCACUGGCCAUGCCCCGCCUGGCACCCGGCCUGGCAGCAGGGAGGGGCCGUGCUGGGCCCGCCCCACGCAGAAGCCUCCCGCGGCCUCUUGCUAUGAGGCUUCCAGGCUCGGGCAGCGGUCACAGAGAAGACCACCUUCCCGGCUCUGUCUGCGACGUCCAUGCCCCCUGGCUCCUGUGUCUGGGUCCGGACGUCCCAUACACCUGGCUCCGGGCCCAGACUCAGCUGACACGCAUGCCAUUUCCCCAAAGAAGCCUCUGGAUGGGAAAUCAGAGCCCCGACUCUGACGGGAGCUUGGACAGGUGACCAGCAGGUGUCUUCCAAAUGCUUUCUCCCCUGCAGUGUCUGCAGUCCCUCCCCCAUCUUCCGGAAGACGGUCGGUCGCACAAGCACGGUCACUGCCACGGGCAAAAACGACCAGCAGCCGCGAUCCGUCUGGAAACCGAAACUAAAAUUCCGGGCCCCAGACAGACGCAGGGUGACAUCUGUCCAAGGGACUUAAGACCUUCUUCCCGAGGUCCGCACCUCCUGCCGCGCUCUCCCACCAGGCCUGGGGGAGCCGGGGGCAGCGCCUUUGAUCUACGUGGGCAGAGGUUGCCCUGUUCUUGUGGCCCGCGGGCAACCCCAGAACAGCUCAGCGGCAACUGAGUCGGGGCCCUCUCUGUGGGUACCCUGACUACCCCCUCUUACAGAUGAGGAAACCGAGGUCCAGCAGCCUCACGUAACUUGCCUUAGUUCAUACGGAACCAGGACCCCCACCCCUAAGCACUCAGCCACGGGGGUGUCAGGGUGGACAGGGUCAGAUGCCCUCCUGCUGGUCCCGGCCAGGUCCCCGACAGGCGCCCCCCGAACCCCCACACCAGGAGGGGCAGAUUGUUCACCUCAAGGAGAGAGGGAGGAAUCAGGCCUUCCCCGGCUUCGGGUCAGAUGAAGAGGUCCCCCCCGCCGCCAUGCCGGGUGCUGGGCUGAGACCCACCCAAAUCUCAAAGGGGGCUCUUGCCUCCCGGAUGCAGAAGCCGAGGCUGGCGUCAGCAGUAAAUGGGGCCCCCGGCCCUCCAGAAGCUGCUCCCAUACCCCUCCCUCCUCCUCCCCUACUAGGUAAGAGUGAACAGCACCCCUGCCCCCCCCCCGCCCCCCCCCCGGGCCUGCCCACCACAUCCACCGGGUGGGGGAGGCGGGGGAGGCGGUGGAUUUUGGUCUGUUGUGGGAGGAUGUUCGUUUUGGGGGCUGCUGACUCUUGAGGCCAAAGAGGGUUUGGGCAGCAGAUUGCCCGGAGUUUGGGGGAGGGUGGUUUUGUCCCCGCUCCUGACCUCCAUUUCCAAAGGUCCUGGGGCUUCCUAAGGGUCUCCAGGCUCUGAUGUCUAAACAGGAGACCCUGCGACAGAAGCGUCCCCCGGGGCUCGAGGGGAGGCAGGGGGCGGGCAGCAGGACGCCGGAGGCCGCGCGGGGUGGGGUCCGGGGACCCGGGUCGGGCCGCGCCCGGGCUGCGGGCUCCGUCCCGCGGCGGAGGGAGGGCGCCGCCAAGUUUCGCCGACCGCGGGGCGCCGGCGGGAAAGGCGCCCCCGGGUUCCCGGGCCUCCCCGCCCCCACCCCGCUCACCC